rnacentral:rRNA from 1 species
AGCGAACGCUGGCGGCAGGCCUAACACAUGCAAGUCGAACGGAUCCUUCGGGAUUAGUGGCGCACGGGUGAGUAACACGUAGGUAACCUGCCCCCCAGUCUGGAACAACUAGAGGAAACUCUAGCUAAUGCCGGAUGAGACCACGAUCCUUCGGGGGUUGCGGCCAAAGAUGGCCUCUACUUGUAAGCUAUCGCUGAGGGAUGGGCCUGCGGGCCAUUAGCUUGUUGGUGAGGUAACGGCUCACCAAGGCUGUGAUGGCUAGCUGGUCUGAGAGGAUGACCAGCCACACUGGGACUGAGACACGGCCCAGACUCCUACGGGAGGCAGCAGUGGGGAAUAUUGCGCAAUGGGCGAAAGCCUGACGCAGCGACGCCGCGUGGGUGAUGAAGGCC